CCUACGGGUGGCAGCAGUCGAGAAUCAUUCACAAUGGGGGAAACCCUGAUGGUGCGACGCCGCGUGGGGGAAUGAAGGUCUUCGGAUUGUAAACCCCUGUCAUGUGGGAGCAAAUUAAAAAGAUAGUACCACAAGAGGAAGCGACGGCUAACUCUGUGCAAGCAGCCGCGGUAAUACAGAGGUCUCAAGCGUUGUUCGGCACCACUGGGCGUAAGGCGUGCGUAGGCUGUUUCGUAAGUCGUGUGUGAAAGGCGCGGGCUCAACCCGCGGACGGCACAUGAUACUGCGAGACUAGAGUAAUGGAGGGGGAACCGGAAUUCUCGGUGUAGCAGUGAAAUGCGUAGAUAUCGAGAGGAACACUCGUGGCGAAGGCGGGUUCCUGGACAUUAACUGACGCUGAGGCACGAAGGCCAGGGGAGCGAAAGGGAUUAGAUACCCCUGUAGUC
rnacentral:rRNA from 1 species